AGUGAACGCUGGCGGUAGGCCUAACACAUGCAAGUCGAACGGCAGCACAGUAAGAGCUUGCUCUUACGGGUGGCGAGUGGCGGACGGGUGGGGAAUACAUCGGAAUCUACUUUUUCGUGGGGGAUAACGUAGGGAAACUUACGCUAAUACCGCAUACGACCUACGGUUGAAAGCAGGGGAUCUUCGGACCUUGCGCGAUUGAAUGAGCCGAUGUCGGAUUAGCUAGUUGGCGGGGUAAAGGCCCACCAAGGCGACGAUCCGUAGCUGGUCUGAGAGGAUGAUCAGCCACACUGGAACUGAGACACGGUCCAGACUCCUACGGGAGGCAGCAGUGGGGAAUAUUGGACAAUGGGCGCAAGCCUGAUCCAGCCAUACCGCGUGGGUGAAGAAGGCCUUCGGGUUGUAAAGCCCUUUUGUUGGGAAAGAAAAGCAGCAGGUUAAUACCCCGCUGUUCUGACGGUACCCAAAGAAUAAGCACCGGCUAACUUCGUG
rnacentral:rRNA from 1 species